UACGUAGGGUGCGAGCGUUAAUCGGAAUUACUGGGCGUAAAGCGUGCGCAGGCGGUUCGCCAAGUCAGGUGUGAAAUCCCCGGGCUUAACCUGGGAAUUGCGCUUGAAACUAGCGGGCUUGAGUGUGGCAGAGGGGGGUGGAAUUCCACGUGUAGCAGUGAAAUGCGUAGAGAUGUGGAGGAACACCGAUGGCGAAGGCAGCCCCCUGGGUCAACACUGACGCUCAUGCACGAAAGCGUGGGGGGCAAACAGG
rnacentral:rRNA from 1 species